UGCUUUCUUCGGAAUGUUACCUAGUGGCGGACGGGUGCGUAACACGUGGGAAUCUACCUUAUAGUGGGGAAUAACUUCUGGAAACGGGAGCUAAUACCCCAUACGCCCUUCGGGGGAAAGAUUUAUCGCUAUAAGAUGAGCCCGCGGUGGAUUAGGUAGUUGGUGAGGUAAAGGCUCACCAAGCCGAUGAUCCAUAGCUGGUUUGAGAGAAUGACCAGCCACACUGGGACUGAGACACGGCCCAGACUCC
rnacentral:rRNA from 1 species